rnacentral:rRNA from 1 species
GACGAACGCUGGCGGCGUGCUUAACACAUGCAAGUCGAACGGAAAGGCCCUGCUUUUGUGGGGUGCUCGAGUGGCGAACGGGUGAGUAACACGUGAGUAACCUGCCCUUGACUUUGGGAUAACUUCAGGAAACUGGGGCUAAUACCGGAUAGGAGCUCCUGCUGCAUGGUGGGGGUUGGAAAGUUUCGGCGGUUGGGGAUGGACUCGCGGCUUAUCAGCUGGUUGGUGGGGUAGUGGCUUACCAAGGCUUUGACGGGUAGCCGGCCUGAGAGGGUGACCGGCCACAUGGGGACUGAGAUACGGCCCAGACUCCUACGGGAGGCAGCAGGGGGGAAUAUUGCACAAUGGGCGGAAGCCUGAUGCAGCAACGCCGCGUGCGGGAUGACGGCCUUCGGGUUGUAAACCGCUUUCGCCUGUGACGAAGCGUGAGUGACGGUAAUGGGUAAAGAAGCACCGGCUAACUACGUG